rnacentral:sRNA from 1 species
UGGAGUCUGGUUCAUGAUUCGCACUGUCGCUUUCAUCGGUCUACUACUACUAAACGCAUUCUCAGUGCGCGGUAGACUGGUGGGCAGCAUUCAGCGUUGAAUCACCCUCCAGUAAGACUAAGAACCCGCGCCCUGGCGCGGGUUUUUUU